rnacentral:piRNA from 1 species
AUGGGCCACUGCAGCCACAGAGGU